GACGAACGCUGGCGGCGUGCUUAACACAUGCAAGUCGAACGGUGAAGCGCCUUCCUUUUUGGUGGGUGUGGAUGAGUGGCGAACGGGUGAGUAACACGUGAGUAACCUGCCCCCUUCUUCUGGAUAACCGCAUGAAAGUGUGGCUAAUACGGGAUAUUCUGGGUCUGUCGCAUGAUGGGUCUGGGAAAGAUAUUGUUUCGGUGGGGGAUGGGCUCGCGGCCUAUCAGCUUGUUGGUGGGGUGAUGGCCUACCAAGGCGGUGACGGGUAGCCGGCCUGAGAGGGGUGCCCGGCCAAACGGGAAGGAGGACCGGGCCCGACUCCUACGGGGGGCAGCCGGGGGGAAUAUUGCACAAUGGGGGCCAGGCCGAUGCCGCGACGCCGCGUGAGGGAUGGAGGCCUUCGGGUUGUGAACCCCUUUCGGCAGGGAAGCAGGGCCGCCUUGUUUGUGGGUGGGUUGACGGUAGCCUGAUAAGAAGCGCCGGCUAACUACGUG
rnacentral:rRNA from 1 species